CAUAUUUUACGCCCCUUUCCAAUUACGGAGAUUACUAAGGGACGGGGCCAGUUCCAAUCACAGGCUGUACCUUACGUAGGCACCCUUGGAGGGAGCCGGAUGGUGAAGAACAGGGAUGGCUGGGCCGAGCCCAGCAUCCCGAAAAAUCUUUUCAGAAGUUACCAGACCCAGGACAGGAACCCGGGUCUUCUACUUGUCACGCCGACACACGCGCCGAGUGGCUCGGCGUAGCCAUCUGUUGCUACUCGUUAUCUGGCCGCCAUGUUGCGAUGUUCCUGUGGUAACAACUGGUGUCGCCACGUUUAUAAACUCUCACGAAUAUAUAUAAUUCAGAACAUUCUGAAUUCAGAAAUUAAACAUUUUUCAAUAUUAUGUACUUAUUUUCUGAGGGAACAUAUAGAACGCUGUCCCAAUUUGACAUAAUCGGCAUUUCUCAGGACAGUACCAAAUACUAUGCUGUUAUAGCAUCAUUUAACGACGAUAUAUUCACCCACAUCGAUCUAAAUCUCGUCGUUGAAAAAAUAUAUAUAUAUAUAUAUCAUAUAUUUUAUUUUAUUUUACUAUU
rnacentral:lncRNA from 1 species